rnacentral:rRNA from 1 species
UGGGGAAUAUUGGACAAUGGGGCGCAAGCCUGAUCCAGCAAUGCCGCGUGUGUGAAGAAGGCCUUCGGGUUGUAAAGCACUUUAUCAGGAGCGAAACGCUGUCGGCUAAUACCCGGCGGAACUGACGGUACCUGAGGAAUAAGCACCGGCUAACUUCGUGCCAGCAGCCGCGGUAAUACGAAGGGUGCAAGCGUUAAUCGGAAUUACUGGGCGUAAAGCGUGCGUAGGCGGUUUCUUAAGUCUGCUGUGAAAUCCCCGGGCUCAACCUGGGAAUGGCAGUGGAUACUGGGAGGCUAGAGUGUGUCAGAGGGUGGUGGAAUUCCCGUGUAGCGGUGAAAUGCGUAGAGAUCGGGAGGAACAUCAGUGGCGAAGGCGGCCACCUGGGACAACACUGACGCUGAGGCACGAAAGCGUGGGGAGCAAACAGGAUUAGAUACCCUGGUAGUCCACGCCCUAAAGCGAUGCGAACUGGAUGUUGGUCUCAACUCGGAGAUCAGUGUCGAAGCUAACGCGUUAAGUUCGCCGCCUGGGGAGUACGGUCGCAAGACUGAAACUCAAAGGAAUUGACGGGGUC